rnacentral:misc_RNA from 1 species
UGGAGUGCCUCGCUAGUUUGUAUCAUCUCAAAUUAAAAAAAGAAGAUGAUCUCAAAGUAAUUACCUAUAUAUCUAAAAUAUUGAUAUGGUUGGGCUUUUGGCAUAGCGAGAGCUGAGGGGAGGAGGAAGGCAUGAAGCAUAAUAGUGGCAAGCCAGCUGUGUCGCAUAUCGAGAGAGAAUGGAAAAUGUGGGAGAGAAUGGAGAGAGAGGCCGAAAGGGAACAAUGUAGAGGGGGCUUGGAACAAAUGACUCCAAAAGGGCCAAAACAACAAUGUUUUAUUUGUUUUUGUAUUUACUUUUGGUUUGGUCUGGUUACUGCAGUUUUUUGACUCUCAAAACCGAAUCGAACUGAGUAGAUUGAAAUCCUUAACAUUAAAAACUGAACUAAAUCAAAUUAUCAAAUGAACGGAAUUGAAUUUCCAAAGUAUGGUGGUUCUUUCGAUAAUUUAGUUCAAACUGAAUAGUUCUCAACCUAGUUGGAAAUUAAAUUGGUGAAUAUUAAUGUCGAAAAUCCCACCACACCUCCUGCUCCAGCACAUGUAGCUAAACUAUUCAACUGCAUUCCGUUACACCUCAGAUUUUCCUUGAUAAAAGCAUUGGUAUUUUUUUGUCUUUGCUGUUCCAUUCUCUUCUAUUCUCAGGUUGCAGGAGAAGCAAAUUAUGUUUCAAGCACCUUAAGAAGAGAGAGAAAUCACACCCUUAUCUGCUUUUUGUUCUU